GGUCCAGACUCCUACGGGAGGCAGCAGUGGGGAAUAUUGCACAAUGGGGGAAACCCUGAUGCAGCGACGCCGCGUGAAGGAUGAAGUAUUUCGGUAUGUAAACUUCUAUCAGCAGGGAAGAAAAUGACGGUACCUGACUAAGAAGCCCCGGCUAACUACGUGCCAGCAGCCGCGGUAAUACGUAGGGGGCAAGCGUUAUCCGGAUUUACUGGGUGUAAAGGGGGCGCAGACGGCAGCGCAAGCCAGGAGUGAAAGCCCGGGGCCCAACCCCGGGACUGCUCUUGGAACUGCGCGGCUGGAGUGCAGGAGGGGCAGGCGGAAUUCCUGGUGUAGCGGUGAAAUGCGUAGAUAUCAGGAGGAACACCGGUGGCGAAGGCGGCCUGCUGGACUGCGACUGACGUUGAGGCCCGAAAGCGUGGGGAGCAAACAGGAUUAGAUACCCGGGUAU
rnacentral:rRNA from 1 species